CUUUAGAAAAUACUACAGUAAAUACUUCAGCAUACUACAGUCUGCAAAAACACUACAGUAAAUACUAUAAUAUAUCGUACAUUUUUUUUUACUACAUUAUUAUACUAUAGUAUACUGUAAAUAGUACAGUAUACUACAGUAAAUACUACAUGACCUACUACAGGAGAAAAUACAGGUCCUGUAGAGAAAUAGGCUACUGGUUUCAAUGGCAUAUGGAAUGGCAUAUGGAAGUCUUUAUAAAAGAAUUGCCUGCAUGUUUGGUUGGAUUUUGGCUAGGUUUUGAAGCAAGGUAAGACAUGCCUCAUAAUAUGUAGUAAAAGGUUCAGGUUUCAAACAAUUAAGUCAAUAUUUUCAAAAUGCAUACUGCAUCCAGCUCGUUGCAAAGUGGUGGGUGACGCACUGAAGCCUACCUUGUUGCCUAUGCACUUGAAUGGGAAGCGCGUUUAAAUUACCAGUUGAUUAAAAAGAGCUACGAUUUUUAUUUCUCGUGGCCAUUGUUUUUAUUUUUUAUUUUUAUUUAUUUUUUUACAUGCGAUUGCCUUUAUAAUUGUUGCACAAUGAUUGGACUUAUUAAACCACAUGUUUUACUCCAGCAGCAACAAACAGCUGUUUGAGCUGUAUCAGCAGCUCUCGUGCUACAUCAACGGUUAUUUCAGUCAAUGCAUAGGCUAAAAUGUAUUAUUUAACAAUGGGAUUAUUUUUCUCUCCCGGACAAUUGGCCGGCACCAAUUUUAUUUAUCAGCUUUACAUUUUUUCUAUCUGCAAAAAGUGCCUAUUACCGGCUAACGGAAACCUUUAACCCAAGGUCAUACAUGAAAUGUUACACAUUGAAGUUCUAAAAUGUCACUUUGUAAUAAAGCACGGAUACAGUUUAGGUAGUUUAUUAUCUCUAAUGCAGGCAAUGAGACAAUGGUCACUGAGCUCAUUAGCAAAGAUUCCAUUGGUUGUACACUUAUGAGGGGGCGUUUGUCGGAAUCAUAUCCCUCCCAAAAAUGUGUGUUUUAAAUUGGGGUGGGUUUUGUUAUCAGUUAAUUUAAAUGUAGCUCAGUACAAAUAUCUUUCAGUUUAUCUGAUAUGGGCAUCAACCAAUCCAGGUUAAGAUCACCAAACAUUAAUAACUCAGAUUUAGCAUAGUUAGACAGCUGCUAAUAGCAAUUGGGAGCAAAACGGGAAAACACUGCACAUAGAGAUCUGUUCCCAGGUGUGUUAUAACAACAUUAUUGUAACAACGUUUCAACGAUUUAGAAAACGGUUUCUAAAACCUGAUGACGAUCAUAGGGUCAAAACAUUGUUAUAGUAAAUGUACUUGGGAGCGUUUAUCCAGCUUUUUUAAUGGGCAAUUAAAAAUAGGGCCAGGAGUUUCUCCUGACGCAGAAAAGCUCUAUAAUCCUGACACAGAUCCGUUGCAGUCAAAUUUGCUAAUAAACCUAUGGGAGCAUUCUAACAAUGUGCAGGUGUUUUUCUUCUUGUCCUCAUGGCAUUUAUUGUACAUUGCACCUGUGGACAUUAGUUGUAGAUUUUUGUACUGCACACUACAUUAGAGCUGGAAGCCAUGUGGAGGCAGAGGCCAGAAAUGUAAAGUGGAGGGCUCAGGCAUGGAGACAGAAAGAACAGAAGUCUGAUGGAGCGAUCGAUAGGACACUCAUUUUUUGAAUGUUUUUCCUUAUCAGUUAUUUCCUCACAGUUUAUUAGUGUACUGUACUGUACCUGGGCAGGGCUGAGCUGUGUGUCAGUCACAACACACACGUGCAGGCGUACGUGUUUCAUGAGGUGAGGUGAGAUACGCAGGGCCAGGGCAGGGAGGGGUUUGUUUACAUGCAAGUAGUAGUCGUCAGUGGGGACUUCAUUAGCAGCAGGUGUUUCCUUUGGGGUUCCUGUAACCGGAAAGCCCUGGAGUCUCCGAGCUAAAUUACUCUGAACUUCCAUCACUUCUGAUCUCCCUGCCUGCCCACUUACCUAUGAUUAUCUCUCAGGUAGAGGUUCACACACUUAAACUGUACACACAUACUGUAGAAAUACACACACAGGUACGCACACACACACGCACACACACACUCUUACCUGUACCCUUUCCCACCCAUGCAUAUACACACAAGCACACCCUCUCACUCAGACACACAAACAUAGAUCACGUGUCCCUGGAGGUGUAGUAUCAAUUUAGCACAAAGGUUGUCUGGCCCAAUGUGACACUAAGUGUAUGGGAAUGGGACAGGCUCCAGCGGUUGUCAGUUCAUUUGUUAUGUUAUGUUGAAGACUGACAUGUGUAACAGUCCUGACCUGUUUUAUGUUGUUUUUUAUGUGUUUAUGGUCAGGGCCUGUGUUUUGGGUGGGCAGUCUAUGUUAUCUGUUUCUAUGUUGGUUUUGGGUUACCUGGUAUGGCUCUUGAUUAGAGGCAGGUGGUUUGCGUUUUCCUCUAAUUAAGAGUCAUAUUUAGGUAGGGCGUUCUCACUGUUUGUUUGUGGGUGAUUGUCUCCUGUGAUGUCUUCGUCGUUGUCGAUGUAUUUUUUCUUACGGGGCUGUUUGGCUGUUCGUGUGUUUUGAUGUAACGUUCCUGUCCGUGAGUUUACGUUUAGUGAUGUGAGUUUAUGUUCAGGUUUCGUUCUACGUCGUUUUCUUGUUUUUGUAAAGUUUGGUAAAGUGUUUGUUUUCGUGUUGCCAUCAUUAUUCAGUUUUGUCGUUUAUAAAUAAAAAGAUGGCUUAUUUCCCUGAA